rnacentral:piRNA from 1 species
UGGGUGAACUGUGCUGCAAAA